rfam:Firmicutes bacterium ASF500 genomic scaffold adhIg-supercont1.4, whole genome shotgun sequence.
CGAUGUCUUCAGGGCGGGGUGAAAUUCCCCACUGGCGGUACAGUCCGCGACCGGACACAGCAAUGUGUCCGCUGACCCGGUGAAACUCCGGGACCAACGGUUAUAGUCCGGAUGGAAGAAGAUGUGU